ACAAGAGGAUAUACAUUUUUUAAAUUUUAAGUAAUUAUAAUGUUGCCUUACAAUUUGAUUUGUAAAACACAAAUGUAAAUGGAUUAUUGAUUCGCCCUGAAUUGCUAUAGGCCCACUUUAACAGGAUUUAUACAUUCAUGAAAUAGGGAUAUAUUGAGAAAUAAUUCAUUUGAGAUUUGAUCAGGGAACUUAGAUUAGAUGUCUGGGUAGGUCCCAGAGUAAUUUUUACUUCUAAUGUGUGCAACACCAGUCUUCAUUUUUGGAAUUGCUGCUGUAGAAUAUCAUUUUAAAUGUACUCAAUCUUGUUUCAAUGCAAUGUUCCUUCUCAUACCUUCUCAUUACACCAUCAAGGCAGCAAACAAUCAAGGAUGUCUCAAUUCUGUUUUUUCAUGUUCUUUUUUUUAAACACUGUCCCUUUAAGGCCGCGCCCCCUUGCCCCACCCAUCACGGGCGUGGUCAGGAAACAGUCUGCCACACCAACAGGUUGAACUCUGAGUAUCAGACCAGGAAGUGCAGUGAUGUGAGCAGUGGUAUGGAAGAUGGUUGUUUCCCUGGGCGCUGUGAGGCUCCUCCAGCAGCAUGCUGUGAGGCCUUGACAGGAAGAUGGUGCUGGACCAAAGCUACAGGAAGUCUGAGAAGCUCCAUGAGUGACCAUGGCUGAUGAAAUACCAAAGGAGGGAGUUGCAGUUUUCUGUCCUGACAUGGUCACUCUUUUGGCGCUUCUAAUAAAUGCAAUCAACGGGGGGAUUAAAUCACUACAGUUCACAAUUUGUGAGUAAUUAAAAUGCAAAGAGACAUUUGCGCCAGUGUUUCCAGAAACACCGGGACUACCUUGUGUCAC